AAAAGAAGGGUGUAAUGUGAUUAAUUUGCAAUUAAUUUAAGGAGUAUGAUUA
rnacentral:tRNA from 1 species